ACCCCUAAUAUGUACAACAUCAACAUCAAUGUAUAUUCAGUAUCAGAAGGUUUGGCAGGGUAGCACCUUAUAUAUAGACUAACUCAUUCAGAGAGGCAUAAGCUUCAGGCCAGGUACAGAAGUUACACUUAUUGUAUGGUAGGUGCAUAGAAAGCACUCUACAGACAUAACUGAACAGACAGCCAGAGCAUAUAAAGUGCUAUAAAAAUGGUGGAGCCUUUUCUAAUAUAACCCUAGAUGGAGGCAGUAUUAGAUUUCAGUGCUGUAAGUUAGGGUGCUGUAAUGAACAUGCGUACCAGAUUCCAUCACAAUUCACAUUAGGUUACAUUCUGCUUGCAACCAAUGGGGCUUUGUGGCACCCCACUCACUGCUCUUUGUGGUGCAGCAGUCUAGCCUAGGCCAGAACUUGACUCAUUUGCCCAAGCACUGGGUUAGCCCUGUCACCAGGCUGUCACUAACAAGAGUCAGUAAAGUCCCCAUUUCCAGUCCUCCUCCACCACCAAACUUGUUCCCUCCAACCAGCUAUGAGUCUCUGUCUGGUAUUAUCACUCAGUGUGCAGAUUCCAUCUACCCUGUCUGGGCAUUUAUAAAGAUUUCAGCUUUUGAUUAAAUGCCAAGCUGUUUGCUGAACACCAUGUUCGCACCAGGGGCGAACAUUGUUGUUCAAAAUGUACAUGUUCAUUUUGUACAUUGUUGUUUUGAAGUGUCCACAAACAGGUGAAAAUGCAUUUUUUCCUGGCAAUCCUCCAGACACCAUUUGGUAGAGCAGCUAUGAGCCUCACUGCAGGAAUGGCACAGUGGAAUGUGGGAAUUCUCCCUAACAAGCCCCUCCACUCCUUCCGUUGCCUCCCAGAGAAAUGGAGAAGGCUCAUGCCUCUGGGCCCUGAUGCUUAGGUUUCUCAGCCUUCCCAGCUCCAAUAAAAGGGAGAUGGAAUCCAGGCAUCUGGGUUUUCCCUCCUGGAAGGUGGAGUGUGGGUGUUCUGUUCCAUGGUCAGUGCUGGGUCAUCAUCAGCUGCAUAGCUUCUGGCCCUGAGUGAGGGAAAUGGUCUGGACAGGGGACUCACCAGAGGUCCUUCUGUGUCUCCCUUGUCUGCAGGUUUCACAUUUGGGUACAGGAGGCACCAUCAUGGAGUCCAAGAUGCUGGAUCUAGGAUUGUCACCCAGAUACCUGCAGAGGGCCAGAGAUGUGUGUAGAUGGCACCAGUGGCAUGAGAACCAAAUUGGACCCUCGAUGUGGCAGGUUUGAAUGGAUAGGUUGAUGACUGGUUGUAUCUGUGGUACUGCAGCACUUAAAUGAGUAACCUAGGCCCAGGAAUGCAUUGUGAUGGUUGCAGAAUGAAGCCUACAGAUGACCAAUUAUUCUCUGAAGAAGGCCACUGAUGCUGCUAUGGAGCUGAGAGUCACAGCACUAGGAUAAAGAGUUUAUGGACAGGGUGAAAGACUGCUUGGGAUCCAUCUAUGAUGACAUCUGAGUGCUGUCAGUGCAACCACCUUUGGAGAGACUGUUGCCCUCUUGAAGAGGCAUGGCAUGGCAGACUGCUGCCUCCCUCCCCCCAGGAUGGAGAGCCCCGCUCCAGAGAUUUCUCCUUGGUGUGACAUGCCUACUAUAUGAAGAAAGAUGAGCCUAUUACCUUAAGCACUGGCCAGCCUGUAUCACAGAUACAUUCUCUUUGGAGAGGAUAAGCGUUGUUCUUUUCUCUGUUUCAGUAGGUUUAAUGAAACAGAUCAUUUUUCUACACUACUAACUUUCUUAUUUCAAGAACACCAUGGAAGUAAAGCCCUGUGU